rnacentral:snRNA from 1 species
GUGCUUGCUUAGGCACCACAUAUACUAGAACUGGAACGAUGCAGAGAAGAUUAACAUGGCUCCUGCACA